UACGGGAGGCAGCAGUGGGGAAUAUUGCACAAUGGGCGCAAGCCUGAUGCAGCCAUGCCGCGUGUAUGAAAAAGGCCUUCGGGUUGUAAAGUACUUUCAGUCGUGAGGAAGGUGUUAAGGUUAAUAACCUUAGCAAUUGACGUUAGCGACAGAAGAAGCACCGGCUAACUCCGUGCCAGCAGCCGCGGUAAUACGGAGGGUGCGAGCGUUAAUCGGAAUUACUGGGCGUAAAGGGCACGCAGGCGGUUAAUUAAGUUGGAUGUGAAAUCCCCGGGCUUAACCUGGGAAUGGCAUUCAAGACUGGUUAGCUAGAGUCUUGUAGAGGGGGUUAGAAUUCCAUGUGUAGCGGUGAAAUGCGUAGAGAUGUGGAGGAAUACCGGUGGCGAAGGCGGCCCCUGGGACAAAGGCUGACGCUCAUGUGCGAAAGCGUGGGGAGCAAAC
rnacentral:rRNA from 1 species